rnacentral:rRNA from 1 species
UACGAAGGGGGCUAGCGUUGUUCGGAAUUACUGGGCGUAAAGCGUGCGCAGGCGGCUUCUCAAGUCAGGGGUGAAAGCCCAGGGCUCAACUCUGGAAUUGCCUUUGAGACUGAGUGGCUUGAGUACGAGAGAGGUGAGUGGAAUUCCCAGUGUAGAGGUGAAAUUCGUAGAUAUUGGGAAGAACACCGGUGGCGAAGGCGGCUCACUGGCUCGUAACUGACGCUCAUGCACGACAGCGUGGGGAUCAAACAGG